UACGAAGGGGGCUAGCGUUGCUCGGAAUCACUGGGCGUAAAGGGUGCGUAGGCGGGCCUUUAAGUCCGGGGUGAAAUCCUGGAGCUCAACUCCAGAACUGCCUUUGAUACUGAAGAUCUUGAGUUCGGGAGAGGUGAGUGGAACUGCGAGUGUAGAGGUGAAAUUCGUAGAUAUUCGCAAGAACACCAGUGGCGAAGGCGGCUCACUGGCCCGGUACUGACGCUGAGGUGCGAAAGCGUGGGGAGCAGACAGG
rnacentral:rRNA from 1 species